rnacentral:rRNA from 1 species
CCUACGGGUGGCAGCAGUGAGGAAUAUUGGUCAAUGGGCGUGAGCCUGAACCAGCCAAGCCGCGUGAGGGAAGAAGGUUCAGUGUAUUGUAAACUUCUUUUGUCAGGGAAUAAAGGUAUGCACUUGUGCCUGUUUGCGUGUACCUUAUGAAAAAGCAUCGGCUAACUCCGUGCCAGCAGCCGCGGUAAUACGGAGGAUGCGAGCGUUAUCCGGAUUUAUUGGGUUUAAAGGGUGCGUAGGUGGGUUUUUAAGUCAGCGGUGAAAGUCUGUGGCUCAACCCGGGCAGUGCCGUUGAAACUGGAAGACUGGAGUUGGAGUGAGGUAGGCGGAAUGCGCGGUGUAGCGGUGAAAUGCUUAGAUAUCGCGCAGAACCCCGAUUGCGAAGGCAGCGUACCAACUCAACACUGACACUGAAGCACGAAAGCGUGGGUAUCGAACAGGAUUAGAUACCCUAGUAGUC